rnacentral:rRNA from 1 species
CUUAACCGGGCGUUAAGUUGCAGGGUAUAGACCCGAAACCCGGUGAUCUAGCCAUGGGCAGGUUGAAGGUUGGGUAACACUAACUGGAGGACCGAACCGACUAAUGUUGAAAAAUUAGCGGAUGACCUGUGGCUGGGGGUGAAAGGCCAAUCAAACCGGGAGAUAGCUGGUUCUCCCCGAAAGCUAUUUAGGUAGCGCCUCGUGAAUUCAUCUCCGGGGGUAGAGCACUGUUUCGGCUAGGGGGCCAUCCCGGCUUACCAACCCGAUGCAAACUGCGAAUACCGGAGAAUGUUAUCACGGGAGACACACGGCGGGUGCUAACGUCCGUCGUGAAGAGGGAAACAACCCAGACCGCCAGCUAAGGUCCCAAAGUCAUGGUUAAGUGGGAAACGAUGUGGGAAGGCCCAGACAGCCAGGAUGUUGGCUUAGAAGCAGCCAUCAUUUAAAGAAAGCGUAAUAGCUCACUGGUCGAGUCGGCCUGCGCGGAAGAUGUAACGGGGCUAAACCAUGCACCGAAGCUGCGGCAGCGANNNNNNNNNNNNNNNNNNNNNNNNNNNNNNNNNNNNNNNUGCUGGAGGUAUCAGAAGUGCGAAUGCUGACAUAAGUAACGAUAAAGCGGGUGAAAAGCCCGCUCGCCGGAAGACCAAGGGUUCCUGUCCAACGUUAAUCGGGGCAGGGUGAGUCGACCCCUAAGGCGAGGCCGAAAGGCGUAGUCGAUGGGAAACGGGUUAAUAUUCCCGUACUUGGUGUUACUGCGAAGGGGGGACGGAGAAGGCUAUGUUGGCCGGGCGACGGUUGUCCCGGUUUAAGCGUGUAGGUGUGUGUUCCAGGUAAAUCCGGUUCACUUUAACACUGAGGCGUGACGACGAGGCACUACGGUGCUGAAGCAACAAAUGCCCUGCUUCCAGGAAAAGCCUCUAAGCAUCAGGUAACACGAAAUCGUACCCCAAACCGACACAGGUGGUCAGGUAGAGAAUACCAAGGCGCUUGAGAGAACUCGGGUGAAGGAACUAGGCAAAAUGGUGCCGUAACUUCGGGAGAAGGCACGCUGACACGUAGGUGAAGUGAUUUACUCAUGGAGCUGAAGUCAGUCGAAGAUACCAGCUGGCUGCAACUGUUUAUUAAAAACACAGCACUGUGCAAACACGAAAGUGGACGUAUACGGUGUGACGCCUGCCCGGUGCCGGAAGGUUAAUUGAUGGGGUCAGCGCAAGCGAAGCUCCUGAUCGAAGCCCCGGUAAACGGCGGCCGUAACUAUAACGGUCCUAAGGUAGCGAAAUUCCUUGUCGGGUAAGUUCCGACCUGCACGAAUGGCGUAAUGAUGGCCAGGCUGUCUCCACCCGAGACUCAGUGAAAUUGAACUCGCUGUGAAGAUGCAGUGUACCCGCGGCAAGACGGAAAGACCCCGUGAACCUUUACUAUAGCUUGACACUGAACAUUGAGCCUUGAUGUGUAGGAUAGGUGGGAGGCUUUGAAGUGUGGACGCCAGUCUGCAUGGAGCCGACCUUGAAAUACCACCCUUUAAUGUUUGAUGUUCUAACGUGGACCCGUAAUCCGGGUUGCGGACAGUGUCUGGUGGGUAGUUUGACUGGGGCGGUCUCCUCCUAAAGAGUAACGGAGGAGCACGAAGGUUGGCUAAUCCUGGUCGGACAUCAGGAGGUUAGUGCAAUGGCAUAAGCCAGCUUGACUGCGAGCGUGACGGCGCGAGCAGGUGCGAAAGCAGGUCAUAGUGAUCCGGUGGUUCUGAAUGGAAGGGCCAUCGCUCAACGGAUAAAAGGUACUCCGGGGAUAACAGGCUGAUACCGCCCAAGAGUUCAUAUCGACGGCGGUGUUUGGCACCUCGAUGUCGGCUCAUCACAUCCUGGGGCUGAAGUAGGUCCCAAGGGUAUGGCUGUUCGCCAUUUAAAGUGGUACGCGAGCUGGGUUUAGAACGUCGUGAGACAGUUCGGUCCCUAUCUGCCGUGGGCGCUGGAGAACUGAGGGGGGCUGCUCCUAGUACGAGAGGACCGGAGUGGACGCAUCACUGGUGUUCGGGUUGUCAUGCCAAUGGCACUGCCCGGUAGCUAAAUGCGGAAGAGAUAAGUGCUGAAAGCAUCUAAGCACGAAACUUGCCCCGAGAUGAGUUCUCCCUGAGACUUAGAGUCUCCUGAAGGAACGUUGAAGACGACGACGUUGAUAGGCCGGGUGUGUAAGC